GCUACGACCACACCGGCCUGAGUACGCCUGAUCUCGUCUGAUCUCGGAAGCUAAGCAGGGUCGGGCCUGGUUAGUACUUGAUGGGAGACUUCCUGGGAAUACCAGGUGCUGUAAGCU
ensembl:rRNA 5S_rRNA 5S ribosomal RNA